GCUGUAGCUCAGUGGUACAGCAUCCUGCUUUACACGCAGGAGUCACCGGGUUCAAUUCCCAUCAUCUCCA